rnacentral:rRNA from 1 species
GUCCACGCCCUAAACGAUGAUGACUAGUUGUUGGAGGAGUUAAAUCCUUUAGUAACGCAGCUAACGCGUGAAGUCAUCCGCCUGGGUAGUACGGUCGCAAGAUUAAAACUCAAAGGAAUUGACGGGGGCCCGCACAAGCGGUGGAUGAUGUGGUUUAAUUCGAUGCAACGCGAAAACCUUACCUACCUUUGACAUGCUAGGAACGCUGCAGAAAUGCAGCGGUGCCCGAAAGGGAACCUAGACACAGGUGCUGCAUGGCUGUCGU